GCCCUAGUGCUGCUGGGCGAAUAUCUUGAAAUGCCAUAAGAGCCGCCUUGCCUAGAAUUCGCCGUGCAGACGGCCUGAGAAGAUAGAGACCGGUCCCCGGUCUGCGUUAUAGGCGGGGGUCGGGAUGAGCNNNNNNNNNCGGUGAAAGUGAAGGCCUUGCUGAGGGAGAGUGCGUAAUAGGUCUCCAGAAUGCGCUCGGU
rnacentral:misc_RNA from 1 species